ACUUCAGAUGAACGCAUUUUAUUUCCUCUGUUAAACCAAAACUAAUAGAAUGUAACUCCAAAAAAGUUGUUGUUUUAAUUUCUAUUUUAUAUUUUUUCACCGCGACUAAAAAUUGUACAUAAAUUAUUUAUAGGAUUUUCAAAGAAAAAUAUAUAUAUAGACAAUCCGAUGCUACUGAUUGGAAUGUUGUAACCUGCAAAAAUAUUUAAAGUUUUAUUUUUUAGCAUUUUGAAUAGUUAUAUUUUAUCGUCAUGGCUUCAAGUUUGUAACUUAGAAGGGAAGCAAAGAAAAUAAAUUAAAAUCAUUUGUGGUUGUAAAAAAAUGUAAAGAUUUAAAUUUCUUGUUGUGACGAUAAAAGCAAAAAAUCUAAACAAAAUAUGCAAACUAUAAUAACAAUAGCGCUAUGAUUUGCAUAGAAGUUAUUAGUUAUACACUAGAAAUUUAUAACAAUUUCAAGUAUUUACCUAAUCAGAUUUAAAAAUGCCUUUGAGAAACCUUUUCUAUUACAUAAGUAGAAACAAUAAACGAUAUACAAUAGUUACAUAUUUAAAGACAGCAAUUAUAAUGUAUUUUCGUAUAUUAAAAAUAGUUUUAGUACUUCAAAGGACAGUGCAAUUCAGUGCAAAAUAAUAAAUUAGGAAAUUAUAGCACAAGCAUUUCUCAAAGACAGAAAUUUUCAUAUUUUAAAUAUAUUUUAGUAUAUCAAAGGUCAGUGCAAUUAAAAUAUAUAUAUAUUGAUAUAUAUAUGUGAAACAGUCAUAACAGUCAACAUUACAAUAAAUAAAAUUCAUUUAGAAGUUAACCAAAAAAAAUAACACCCAAAGGGAAAAGCGAUCAAAGAUGAAGGACAACUCCACUCACGGUACACAGUACACGCACCUCUUGACAUUACCGUAUUAGCGACUGUGCUUUUGUUACGAUUUAAGGUAAUAAUACUUUCAUAAUGAAAAUCCUCCAACCCUAUGAAUACCGUUACCUUUAUCAUCACUCAAUCAAUUCAAUCAACUCCUCGACAAAGUGAAGAAGAUAUAGAAUAAUCAAAGCUCGUUUAGGAUUAUGUCAAGAUGGUCCGUUGUGGUCGCUAUGGUUACAGAAAGCAAGAAAGAAUUAAAACACACACACACACACAAAACCACCUUAAAAGAAUAUUCUAAGCAAUAAACAUAACAACUUUCAUACAUACAGAAAGAGAAAGGUGGCUUAGCGCUUGGCUUCGAGAUUUUUUAGGGCGCCUUUGUCACAUGACACCCUCGUAAACAGUGGGCCAUAGAAACACAUGAACUUUAGCCUAUAAUUGCAAGGUUGAUAUCUCUCUCUAUAUAUAUAAUGACAAAAGUUAAAGUAUUUUUUAAUAGCUGUUAAACAUUUAUAAAAUAAAAAAAAAAUAAAAAAAUAAAAGCUUUGCUACAUCCGAAAUGUUCAGCAUUUGGUAUGGUUUUAUAUGUACAGCAAACUAACCUAUGUAAGCAAUAUUUAGAUCCUCAGAGUUCGAAAUUUAUAUAGAUAUAGAUCUAGGUGUUUUAUACAAGUAUAAAAAUAUAGAAACAAAAAUAAUUUUAUAACAUCAACAAUGCAACAACAUUGUCCAUUACAAUCAGAUACAUAAAAUAAAACAAAAUAUACUUUCAGACGCAUAUCCUAAGGCAAUGUCAUUAUAUUCAUUCAUACAAAUAAUACAGACCAUAUGUAAAUUAUUAAUGCCAUUCUUAAUCAGAACUAUUCAUUAUAUAAAAUGAACACAUGUUUCAAUUUUUGGAAAUCCUUAUACCAAUCAUGGCUUAUCAAUCAAAACGCUGUUCUUAGAGUAGCCAGCACAGUUAAAAAAAAAAAUAGAGAGUUUAAAAGGGAGAUAACUUUGUUUUGCUUUGUCUCUCUCUCUCUCUUGUCCCCCCCCCCCCCACCCCU